UAAAAGGUAGAAGACAGCAAGACACCAGAUCUAAUGGAAAGGGACAUGUGAGAAACUAUAGGUUCAUACACAGAAGGAGACCAUUCGAUCCAAUCUUCCUGUACGAGGCCUUUGAAAGAGCUAUUCAAAUAAUUUCACUGCCCUGAAGGACUUUUGAAAUGCAGUCACCAUAAUAGAGGGGAUCACAGCAGGGUCAGCAGUGGCUCAACUGGUGAUAUGCUCAUCCAUCAGGCAGAAGGUCAUGGGCUGAAGGAACACUCCAGAGACUUGAGCAGAAAUUCUAGGCUGACCUCUGGAAAU